rnacentral:rRNA from 1 species
GUGGGGAAUAUUGGACAAUGGGGGGAACCCUGAUCCAGCCAUGCCGCGUGUGUGAAGAAGGCCUUUUGGUUGUAAAGCACUUUAAGCGAGGAGGAGGCUACCGAGAUUAAUACUCUUGGAUAGUGGACGUUACUCGCAGAAUAAGCACCGGCUAACUCUGUGCCAGCCGCCGCGGUAAUACAGAGGGUGCAAGCGUUAAUCGGAUUUACUGGGCGUAAAGCGCGCGUAGGUGGCCAAUUAAGUCAAAGGUGAAAUCCCCGAGCUUAACUUGGGAAUUGCAUUCGAUACUGGUUGGCUAGAGUAUGGGAGAGGAUGGUAGAAUUCCAGGUGUAGCGGUGAAAUGCGUAGAGAUCUGGAGGAAUACCGAUGGCGAAGGCAGCCAUCUGGCCUAAUACUGACACUGAGGUGCGAAAGCAUGGGGAGCAAACAGGAUUAGAUACCCUUGUAGUCC